CAUUCAACAUAGUGACUAAAUUGUCAAUUAUUUAUUGGAGAACAUCAUCUAUAUAUCGGAAAGUAAAGUUAAAGGAUACUGCUCACUUCUUUACUAAGAAGUUCCUGUAUGAAGUCAGCCUCAUAAGAAUAAAGGAACCUAGUCAGCAAGAAGAGGGGUACAAUUUGUUCCCAUAGAAAUGUUGAUGGUUUGUUGAAAAACACGUCCUCAAAACAACAAAUAUGUUGUCAAUCCCGAAAUCAAUCAUCUUGGUGAUGUCAGUUUCAUAGAAUUUUUGUUUGAAUCGGAUGGAUUCUUUACAAAGUCGAAUCUACCCCUC
rnacentral:lncRNA from 1 species